rnacentral:rRNA from 1 species
ACCCGCUGAACUUAAGCAUAUCAAUAAGCGGAGGAAAAGAAACCAACAGGGAUUGCCUCAGUAACGGCGAGUGAAGCGGCAACAGCUCAAAUUUGAAAUCUGGCCCCCAGGCCCGAGUUGUAAUUUGUAGAGGAUGCUUCUGGCGACGCGCCUUCCGAGUUCCCUGGAACGGGACGCCAAAGAGGGUGAGAGCCCCGUCCGGUCGUGCGCCUAGCCUCUGUGAAGCUCCUUCGACGAGUCGAGUAGUUUGGGAAUGCUGCUCUAAAUGGGAGGUAUACGUCUUCUAAAGCUAAAUACCGGCCAGAGACCGAUAGCGCACAAGUAGAGUGAUCGAAAGAUGAAAAGCACUUUGAAAAGAGGGUUAAAUAGUACGUGAAAUUGCUGAAAGGGAAGCGCUUAUGACCAGACUUGGGCUUGGUGAAUCAUCCGGCGUUCUCGCCGGUGCACUUUGCCGGUCCAGGCCAGCAUCAGUUCGCUUCGGGGGAUAAAGGCUUCGGGAAUGUAGCUCCCUCGGGAGUGUUAUAGACCGUUGCGUAAUACCCUGGGGUGGACUGAGGUACGCGUUCUG